UUUAAAUACAGAGGAAAUUUACUCCAGAGGCUGUGAACAUGUGAACAUCAUCACAGAAUGAAUCCUAUCACGUUUCUACUGUCUUCAGGAAAUGAGAAAAAUGAAUCCAGGAAAUUUCCAUCUUUAACUAUACUCUGUAAAUGUGCUGUCCAAUACACAGAUAGCUACUGAGCACUGGAAUAUAGCUAGUCUGAAUGGAGAUGUUCUGUUUGACUUUUUUGGACUCCACAUGUGUGAGAUCAUGCAAUAUUUGUCUUUCUGUGCCUGGCUUAUUUCACUUAGCGUAAUGUCCUCCAGGCUCAUCCAGGUUGUUGCAAAAGGCAGGAUUUUCUUCUUUUUUAAGGCUUGGAGAGUCAUUUGUUUUCAUAAGAGAUUCACACUCUAUGUGAUGCCUUCUGCCAUGGGAUGUCCCUCACCAGAUUCUAGUGCCAUGCUCUUGGACUUCCUAGCCUCCAGAACCAUAAGCCAAAUAAACUUUAGUUCUUUGUAAAUUACCCAAUCUGUGGUAUUCUGUUAUAGCAGCAGAAAAUGAAGUAGAACAUUGAGUCACUUCCCUAAUCUAGACUGGCCAACUCUUUGCAAUUAUGAUCUUAUUAUUCAAUUUUUGAUUUCAGGAACUCUUUCUCCUUUCUACUCCUAAGGAUAAUAGAAUACAUUUUAGUCUUUUGUUUAUGAGAGCAAGUAUACAUUAAUUUUUUUUUUCUUUUAGAGUUUCAUGACAGUUGUUAACAUAACUGGAGACCCCCUGAAGUGUGACAAGAAAAAAAUUAUUGCUCUAACUGUAGGGUGGUUGUAGCUACAUCUGAAUAAGACACUUUUGGAAAAUGAGAUAGUAAUCCCCUACAAAUUCUUUGCUGGAGUUCUUAGAUCUGUAGAAGUAGUUUCAUCAUGCAUUGUGAUUAUUUGGGAAAGUCCUAUUGUGCCUUUUUAAGAUGAUAGUGUGGAGCUGAUGGGGGAAAAUAAUCAGGAACAGCUGGAGGCUUUGAAAGUGUUUUCAUGAGCAGAAAAAUUCCAUGC
rnacentral:lncRNA from 10 species